UACGUAGGGGGCUAGCGUUGUCCGGAUUUAUUGGGCGUAAAGAGCGUGUAGGCGGCCAUGUAGGUCCGGUGUGAAAACUCGAGGCUUAACCUCGAGAUGUCAUCGGAAACCAUUUGGCUAGAGUCCGGAAGAGGAGAGUGGAAUUCCUGGUGUAGCGGUGAAAUGCGUAGAUAUCGUAAGGAAGACCAGUGGCGAAGGCGGGUCUCUGGACAGUUCCUGACGCUGAGGCACGAAGGCCAGGGGAGCAAACGGG
rnacentral:rRNA from 1 species